AUUGAACGCUGGCGGCAUGCCUUACACAUGCAAGUCGAACGGCAGCACGGGAGCAAUCCUGGUGGCGAGUGGCGAACGGGUGAGUAAAGUAUCGGAACGUGCCCAGUCGUGGGGGAUAACGUAGCGAAAGUUACGCUAAUACCGCAUACGAUCUAUGGAUGAAAGCGGGGGAUCGCAAGACCUCGCGCGAUUGGAGCGGCCGAUAUCAGAUUAGGUAGUUGGGGGGGUAAAGGCUCACCAAGCCGACGAUCUGUAGCUGGUCUGAGAGGACGACCAGCCACGCUGGGACUGAGACACGGCCCAGACUCCUACGGGAGGCAGCAGUGGGGAAUUUUGGACAAUGGGCGAAAGCCUGAUCCAGCCAUGCCGCGUGCAGGAUGAAGGCCUUCGGGUUGUAAACUGCUUUUGUACGGAACGAAAAGGUUUGGCCUAAUAAGCUGAGCUCAUGACGGUACCGUAAGAAUAAGCACCGGCUAACUACGUGCCAGCCGCCGCGGUAA
rnacentral:rRNA from 1 species